UUCUGUAAGCUGCACCCUUUUAAUUCUACCCCAUGGCGGGGCCCUUGCUGACUGGUCAGUUUUCUAGUUUUUUUACACUUCAUCUAGAUUGAAGAAGAUUCUUGCCUUGACAACUGCUCGAACUCCCGGGUUGGCAUGCUCUAAAGGUAUAGUGAAUUCAGUAUGCAGAUUGUUGAAAGGAAAACAUCAAGACGGGGCGAGGAAGACAACAAAACAUGAUUACCCAGAUUGAGGAUCCCAGUGUUCUUUGUCUCAAGCUACUCAGCCUACCAUAAGAAAAUUAAAAGAUCUGUCAUGAAGAAGAGGCAGGUUCUCAACUUUCAUAUCA